rnacentral:rRNA from 1 species
GUCUACGCCCUAAACAAUGAGUGCCAGCUGUAUGCGGGAUCAAAUCCGCAUGUGGCGCAGCUAACGCGAUGAGCACUCCGCCUGGGAAGUACGGUCGCAAGACUAAAACUCAAAGGAAUUGACGGGGACCCGCACAAGCGGUGGAACAUGUGGUUUAAUUCGAAGCAACGCGAAGAACCUUACCUGGGUUUGACAUCCUUGGAAAGCAAUAGAAAUAUUGUCCUCCCUUCGGGGACCGAGUGACAGGUGCUGCAUGGCU